rnacentral:rRNA from 1 species
AGUGAACGCUGGCGGCAGGCCUAAUACAUGCAAGUCGAACGGCAGCACAGCAGCGCUUGCUCUGUGGGUGGCGAGUGGCGGACGGGUGAGGAAUACAUGGGAAUCUGCCCAGUCGUGGGGGAUAACGUAUGGAAACGUACGCUAAUACCGCAUGCGCCCUUUGGGGGAAAGCCGGGGACCUUCGGGCCUGGCGCGAUUGGAUGAGCCCAUGUUCGAUUAGCUAGUUGGCGGGGUAAAGGCCCACCAAGGCGACGAUCGAUAGCUGGUCUGAGAGGAUGAUCAGCCACACUGGGACUGAGACACGGCCCAGACUCCUACGGGAGGCAGCAGUAGGGAAUAUUGGACAAUGGGCGCAAGCCUGAUCCAGCCAUGCCGCGUGAGUGAAGAAGGCCCUCGGGUUGUAAAGCUCUUUUGUCCGGAAAGAAAAGCAUUCGGUUAAUACCCGGGUGUUCUGACGGUACCGGAAGAAUAAGCACCGGCUAACUUCGUG